UACAGAGGUCUCGAGCGUUGUUCGGAUUCAUUGGGCGUAAAGGGUGCGUAGGUGGCUAGGUAAGUCGGAUGUGAAAUCCCGGGGCUCAACCCCGGAACUGCAUUCGAUACUGCCUGGCUAGAGUACUGGAGAGGAGAUUGGAAUUUACGGUGUAGCAGUGAAAUGCGUAGAUAUCGUAAGGAAGACCAGUGGCGAAGGCGGGUCUCUGGACAGUUCCUGACACUGAGACACGAAGGCCAGGGGAGCAAACGGG
rnacentral:rRNA from 1 species